rnacentral:tRNA from 1 species
GCUAUUGGAGCUUGGUUGGUGAAGCACUUGUCUAGCGAAUAAGGGUCGUGAGUUCAAAACUCACUAAUGAUU